rnacentral:rRNA from 1 species
UACGUAGGUGGCAAGCGUUGUCCGGAUUUAUUGGAUUUAAAGGGUGCGUAGGCGGCCCUGUAAGUCAGUGCUGAAAUAUCCCGGCUUAACCGGGAGGGUGGCAUUGAUACUGCGGGGCUAGAGUACAGAUGAGGUAGGCGGAAUUGACGGUGUAGCGGUGAAAUGCUUAGAUAUCGUCAAGAACACCUAUAGCGAAGGCAGCUUACUAGGCUGUAACUGACGCUGAGGCACGAAAGUGUGGGGAUCAAACAGG